AGUUUGUAAAUGCUGAUUCAACAUAAAGUCAUACCUUCUUCAUGAAUGAAAUGUACUAAGUGUACUACAUCUCAUCAUUUCUGAUUAU